rnacentral:rRNA from 1 species
AGUGAACGCUGGCGGUAGGCCUAACACAUGCAAGUCGAACGGCAGCACAGUAAGAGCUUGCUCUUACGGGUGGCGAGUGGCGGACGGGUGAGGAAUACAUCGGAAUCUACUUUUUCGUGGGGGAUAACGUAGGGAAACUUACGCUAAUACCGCAUACGACCUACGGGUGAAAGCAGGGGAUCUUCGGACCUUGCGCGAUUGAAUGAGCCGAUGUCGGAUUAGCUAGUUGGCGGGGUAAAGGCACACCAAGGCGACGAUCCGUAGCUGGUCUGAGAGGAUGAUCAGCCACACUGGAACUGAGACACGGUCCAGACUCCUAAGGGAGGCAGCAGUGGGGAAUAUUGGACAAUAGGCGCAAGCCUGAUCCAGCCAUACCGCGUGGGUGAAGAAGGCCUUCGGGUUGUAAAGCCCUUUUGUUGGGAAAGAAAAGCAGCAGGUUAAUACCCCGCUGUUCUGACGGUACCCAAAGAAUAAGCACCGGCUAACUUCGUG